GAGAAGAUAAUUUUUUGGGUUAAUUACAUUAUUGGUUCCCAACCUUUGCACUAAUUUUCACUUGGGUCCCCAACAUUUUUUUUUUCGCAAUUGAGUUCCUAAUCUCUUGAUUUUAUUUCAAUUACGUUCUAGUCAUUAAAAAAAAUGUUAAAAUUAAAGGAAUCGUCGUGUCAGCGCCUACUUGGUAUCCUUUUGCAUGUUAAAUUUUGGUCCCUAAAUUUUGCAGGUUUUUUAUUUUAGUCCUCCAAAAAAAAUCAAAAAUUUUAAAAUUUAAAUUCUAAAUCAAUAUUAAAAUUAAAAUUUUAAACUAACGAGAAAUUAGAAUAUUA
rnacentral:lncRNA from 1 species